rnacentral:tRNA from 1 species
GCCCAGGUGGCGGAAUUGGCUAUACGCGCUACUUCGAGGGGGUAGUGGCCGCAAGGCCGUGCGGGUUCGACUCCCGCCCUGGGCA